rnacentral:rRNA from 1 species
GCUGGCGGCGUGGAUAAGACAUGCAAGUCGAGCGGGAUUUUCUUUGGUAGCAAUAUCGAGGAAAAUUCAGCGGCGAACGGGUGCGUAACACGUGGGCAAUUUGCCUUAAAGUGUGGGAUAGCUCGGCGAAAGCCGAAUUAAUACCGCAUGUGGCUACUGGAGACAUCUUCGGGACGCUAAAGGUGGCGCAAGCUACCGCUUUUUGAGGAGCCCGCGGCCUAUCAGCUUGUUGGUGAGGUAACGGCUCACCAAGGCUAUGACGGGUAGCUGGUCUGAGAGGACGACCAGCCACACUGGGACUGAGACACGGCCCAGACACCUACGGGUGGCAGCAGUCGAGAAUUUUUGACAAUGGGGGAAACCCUGAUCGAGCGACGCCGCGUGGAGGAUGAAGGUCUUCGGGUUGUAAACUCCUGUCAUUUGGGAACAAGGCGCGUGUAUUAACUGUGCACGCGUUGAUAGUACCA